CCUACGGGGUGCUGCAGUGGGGAAUAUUGGACAAUGGGCGAAAGCCUGAUCCAGCCAUGCCGCGUGUGUGAAGAAGGCCUUCGGGUUGUAAAGCACUUUCAGUGGGGAAGAAAGCCUUGGGGCUAAUACCCUCGAGGAAGGACAUCACCCACAGAAGAAGCACCGGCUAACUCCGUGCCAGCAGCCGCGGUAAUCCGGAGGGUGCGAGCGUUAAUCGGAAUUACUGGGCGUAAAGCGCGCGUAGGCGGUCUGAUAAGCCGGUUGUGAAAGCCCCGGGCUCAACCUGGGAACGGCAUCCGGAACUGUCAGGCUAGAGUGCAGGAGAGGAAGGUAGAAUUCCCGGUGUAGCGGUGAAAUGCGUAGAGAUCGGGAGGAAUACCAGUGGCGAAGGCGGCCUUCUGGACUGACACUGACGCUGAGGUGCGAAAGCGUGGGUAGCAAACAGGAUUAGAUACCCUUGUAGUC
rnacentral:rRNA from 1 species